rnacentral:rRNA from 1 species
AUUGAACGCUGGCGGCAGGCCUAACACAUGCCAGUCGAGCGAGCGGCGGACGGGUGAGUGAUGUCUGGGAAACUGCCUGAUGGAGGGGGAUCACUACUGGAAACGGUAGCUCAUACAGACUACCAUCAGAUGUGCCCAGAUGGGCGUAGCUAGUAGGUGGGAUAAUGGCUAACCUAGGCGACGAGCCAUAGCUGGUCUGAGAGGAUGACCAGCCACACUGUAACGUAGACACGGUGCAGACUCGUACGGUAGGCAGCAGUGGGGAAUAUUGCAAAAUGGGCGCAAGCCUGAUGCAGACAUGCCGCGUGUAUGAAGAAGGCCGUCGGGUGGUAAAGUACUUUCAGCGGGGAGGCGUUACCCGCAGAAGAAGCACCGGCUAACUCCGUGCCAGCAGCCGCGGUAAUAC